UGCGAUACUUAGUGUGAAUUGCAGAAUCCCGUGAAUCAUCGAGUUUUUGAACGCAAUUUGCGCCCGAGGCGUCGGUCGAGGGCACGUCUGUCUGGGCGUCG
rnacentral:rRNA from 1 species